rnacentral:tRNA from 1 species
GAAACUUAGGAUUACUAAAACCGAAG